rnacentral:rRNA from 1 species
AGCGAACGCUGGCGGCAGGCCUAACACAUGCGAGUCGAACGAACCUUUCGGGGUUAGUGGCGGACGGGUGUGUAACACGUGGGAACGUGCCUUUAGGUUCGGAAUAACUCAGGGAAACUUGUGCUAAUACCGAAUGUGCCCUUCGGGGGAAAGAUUAAUCGCCUUUAGAGCGGCCCGCGUCUGAUUAGCUAGUUGGUUGAGGUAAUGGCUCACCAAGGCGACGAUCAGUAGCUGGUCUGAGAGGAUGAUCAGCCACAUUGGGACUGAGACACGGCCCAAACUCCUACGGGAGGCAGCAGUGGGGAAUCUUGCGCAAUGGGCGAAAGCCUGACGCAGCCAUGCCGCGUGAAUGAUGAAGGUCUUAGGAUUGUAAAAUUCUUUCACCGGGGACGAUAAUGACGGUACCCGGAGAAGAAGCCCCGGCUAACUUCGUG